rnacentral:piRNA from 1 species
GAGGGCGCGGUGUAGAACAGAAUCA